GACGAACGCUGGCGGCGUGCUUAACACAUGCAAGUCGAGCGGUAAGGCCCUUUCGGGGGUACACGAGCGGCGAACGGGUGAGUAACACGUGGGUGACCUGCCCUCAGCUCUGGGAUAAGCCCGGGAAACUGGGUCUAAUACUGGAUAUUACUCUGCGGUGCAUGCCGUGGGGUGGAAAGCCUUGUGCGGCUGGGGGAUGGGCCCGCGGCCUAUCAGCUUGUUGGUGGGGUGAUGGCCACCAAGGCGACGACGGGUAGCCGGCCUGAGAGGGCGACCGGCCACACUGGGGACUGAGACACGGCCCAGACUCCUACGGGAGGCAGCAGUGGGGAAUCUUGCGCAAUGGGCGAAAGCCUGACGCAGCGACGCCGCGUGAGGGAUGACGGCCU
rnacentral:rRNA from 1 species